rnacentral:rRNA from 1 species
CCUACGGGUGGCAGCAGUGGGGAAUAUUGCACAAUGGGGGAAACCCUGAUGCAGCGACGCCGCGGGAAGGAAGAAGGAGUUCGGGAGGUAAACUUCUAGCAGCAGGGAAGAAAAUGACGGUACCUGACUAAGAAGCCCCGGCUAACGACGUGCCAGCAGCCGCGGUAAUACGGAGGGGGCAAGCGUUCUCCGGAUUUACUGGGUGUAAAGGGAGCGUAGGCGGUUUAGCAAGUCAGAAGUGAAAGCCAGGGGCUCAACUCCGGGACUGCUUUUGAAACUGUUGAACUAGAUUGCAGGAUAGGUCAGUGGCAUUCCUUGUGUAGCGGUGUAAUGCGUAGCUAUUAGGAG